UCAGUUUAGAGUUUUAAAACCUUAAUGCUGACUGAAUGGAAAGAGUUCAGUUUAGGGUUUAAAACCCUAAUGCUGACUGAGUGGAAAAAAUUCAGUUUAGGGUUUAAAUCCCUAAUACUGACUGAAUGGAAAAAGUUCAGUUUAGGGUUUAAAACCCUAAUACUGACUGAAUGGAAAAAGUUCAGUUUAGGGUUUAAAACCCUAAUGCUGACCAAAGGAAAGAGUUCAGUUUAGGGUUUAAAACCCUAAUGCUGACUAAAUGGAAAAGUUCAGUUUAGGGUUUAAAACCCUAAUACUGACUAAAGGAAAGAGUUCAGUUUUGGGGUUUAAAACCCUAAUGCUGACUAAAUGAAAGAGUUCAGUUUAGGGUUUAAAACCCUAAUGCUGACUGAAUGGAAAAAGUUCAGUUUAGGGUUUAAACCCCUAAUGCUUACUAAAGGAAAAGAGUUCAGUUUAGGGUUUAAAACCCUAAUGCUGACUAAAGGAAAAAGUUCAGUUUAGGGUUUAAAACCCUAAUGCUGACUGAAUGGAAAAAGUUCAGUUUAGGGUUUAAAACCCUAUUGCUAACCAAAGGAAAAAGUUCAGUUUAGAGUUUAAAAUCCUAAUGCUGACUGAAGGAAAGAGUUCAGUUUAGGGUUUAAAUCCCUAAUACUGACUAAAGGAAAGAGUUCAGUUUAGAGUUUAAAACCCUAAUGCUAACUGAAUGGAAAAAGUUUAGUUUAGGGUUUAAAACCCUAAUGCUGACUAAAGGAAAAGAGUUCACUUUAGGGUUUAAAAACCUAAUGCUGACUAAAGGAAAAAGAUCAGUUUAGGAUUUAAAACCCUAAUGUUGACUGAAUGGAAAAAGUUCAGUUUAGAGUUUAAAACCCUAAUGCUGACUGAAGGAAAGAGUUCAGUUUAGGGUUUAAAACCCUAAUGCUGACUAAAGGAAAGAGUUCAGUUUAGGGUUUAAAACCCUAAUGCUGACUAAAUGGAAAAAGUUCAGUUUAGGGUUUAAACCUCUAAUGCUUACUAAAGGAAAAGAGUUCAGUUUAGGGUUUAAAACCCUAAUGCUGACUAAAGGAAAAAGUUCAGUUUAGGGUUUAAAACCCUAAUACUGACUGAAUGGAAAAAGUUCAGUUUAAGGUUUAAAUCCCUAAUGCUGACUAAAUGGAAAAAGUUCAGUUUAGGGUUUAAAACCCUAAUACUGACUGAAGGAAAGAGUUCAGUUUAGGGUUUAAAACCCUAAUGCUGACUAAAGGAAAGAGUUCAGUUUAGGAUUUAAAACUCUAAUGUUGACUAAAGGGAAGAGUUCAGUUUAGGGUUUAAAACCCUAAUGCUGACUUAAAUGAAAAUAGUUCAGUUUAGGGUUUAAAACCCUAAUGCUGACUUAAAUGAAAAGAGUUCAGUUUAGGGUUUAAAACCCUAAUGCUGACUAAAUGGAAAAGUUCAGUUUAGGGUUUAAAACCCUAAUGCUGACUAAAUGAAAAAAGUUCAGUUUAGGUUUUAAAACCCUAAUGCUGACUGAAGGAAAGAGUUCAGUUUAGGGUUUAAAACCCUAAUGCUGACUAAAGGAAAAAGUUCAGUUUAGGGUUUAAAACCCUAAUGCUGACUGAAUGAAAAGA
rnacentral:lncRNA from 1 species